CUCUAACAUACUUCUAAACUUCCUUUUCAUUUUGUCUGUCUUUCUAGCCAAUUUUGACAGAGCAACUAGGGGUGACUGGCUCAGAAGAUGGGAUAGGUCAGGCAGAGGAGAGUUAGCAUUUCCCAGAAGGCCUAACGGGGAAACAAAGAACAAAAGAACACAUUGAGAAAUACCUAAACGCCAGAUAGUCACUACUCCAAGGCGCUCUUUUCUCAGGAAG
rnacentral:lncRNA from 1 species